rnacentral:rRNA from 1 species
GACGAACGCUGGCGGCGUGCUUAACACAUGCAAGUCGAACGGAAAGGCCCCCAUCUUGGUGGGGGUGCUCGAGUGGCGAACGGGUGAGUAACACGUGGGUGAUCUGCCCUGUACUUCGGGAUAAGCUUGGGAAACUGGGUCUAAUACCGGAUAGGACCAUGGUUUAGUGUCUCAUGGUGGAAAGAUUAUUGUUUUGGUGCAGGAUGAGCUCGCGGCCUAUCAGCUUGUUGGUGGGGUAAUGGCCUACCAAGGCGUCGACGGGUAGCCGGCCUGAGAGGGUGGACGGCCACAUUGGGACUGAGAUACGGCCCAGACGCCUACGGGAGGCAGCAGUGGGGAAUAUUGCACAAUGGGCGCAAGCCUGAUGCAGCGACGCCGCGUGGGGGAUGACGGCCUUCGGGUUGUAAACUCCUUUCGUGAGGGACGAAGCCGCACUUUUUUGGGUGUGGUGACGGUACCUUUGUGAAGAAGCACCGGCUAACUACGUG